AAUAAAAUGCCUGAAAAAGGCCUAUCUUGAUAGGAUAAAAUAUGUAUGUUUAUACUUUUAUUA
rnacentral:tRNA from 1 species